UGGCUCCAAGUAAUAAUGACGCUCUUCAAGUGGGAAAACCACUUGCAUGCAUAAUACAUUCACACGUACUCAUAUACAACAAAGCUAGUCUUGAAAUAGUAACACUAUGUUAUUGGCAACUUUAGAUCAUCUGAUGUGUGGAUAAACAUCCAUUAACCUUAACACAAGUUUUAAAAAGGUCACAGCAGUGGCUUGCCACUGAUACUGCAUAGGACAAGCUUCAUUUUCACUCUUUUAAAAUUAGCAAAAAAAAGAAAAAGAAAAGGAAAGUUACAUGUUGUAUUGAGAUGUUAAAUAAAGACAUUAGAAUAAUAAGAUGUGGACAACAAAAAAGAAUCAUCAAACCUUGAAACAAUCACUUGCUUGAUCAAACUUAUCAGAUCUCCUUGCUUAUGAAACACAUCAGCAUCUAUAUGCACUUCACCGCAUUUCUUCCACAAUGCGUAACUGUAACCAUGAUCACCUAGUCUUAUCCCAACUCUGCAGAAUUGGCUUUAUGGACCCUCAUGUACCAAGUAUUCCUGUUUACAGUCACCUCAGGUGUUUUUAAAUUUCCACAACACAUUGUAACUUCAAAAGAUUAGUCUUGGGGAUGUGAUCAUGCAUCUACAAUUCAUAUCCAUGUGGAGAUCUGCACUAUAUGAUGGCAGCAUACCAAAUUUGUGCAUGAAACUCGGCCUGCCGGGGAAUGGUAAACAGGCAACUGUGCCCAAGAUACACUGUCACCUUAAGUGUAAGAGUUGUCCAACUUCCAACACACUCUAAUUAGGUCACUCUUCAAAGAAAAAGAUGGACCAUAAAAAUGUAUUUGUCAUGGUUGAUAGGCAGUUUGAGAUCAUGGAGAAAAUGUCCAGAGGUGAAUCUAGCUGGGUUGUAUUGAUAGUUUAAUCUUCAGUAAAUCCAAGGAGAAUUAAAUCGGACAUUUUUUCCAACUCUAUUUUCAUGUACUGCUAAUUAAAAUAUGGUGUCCUAAGUCAGGAUCAGAGUUUCGGAAGUUGUCUGAUGUAUAGCAGAAUUAGCUCUUUAUAACACCUUGGACCAGGAAUUUCCUUUUUUCCUGGUUGGUUGGACCAGAUAUUUUCAAUGGCAUGCAUUUCAACCUUGUUGCUCAUGCAGCUCUAAAAGACUGAGUCCAAGUACCUACUUGGAGGUACGAAGCACAGCAAAAGUAAGACUCUGAUAUCUCCACAAGGCCAAACUUUUAUUCCCUUAAUUUUUGGAGUCACCAUCUUGAGGCACUUCAAGCUGGUUGGUUAUGGGGCUCUAAAAGACUGAAUUUAAACACUAGUCCAAGGUCUGAAGCAGACUAAAGUUAAGACUCUGAUAUCUCCAAGAAAAACUUUCAUUCCCUUAAUUAUUGGAGUUGCCAUCUUGACCUUGCAUAAAUAGCAGGUGGUGCGAUGGCCCAGUCUGGCCCAAUCCACUUGACCAGCCACACCUAGCUGCAGCCUAGCUUAGCUGGACUGCAUG
rnacentral:lncRNA from 1 species